UCCGAUGUAGUCCAGUGGUUAGGAUGUCUGGUUUUCAAAGAGUCUUGAAAAAGUCCCAGGAGACCCGGGUUCAAACCCCGGCAUCGGAA